UUUUAUAGACACUAGAUAGAAAAUGGGAUCAAAUACCCACAUUUAUAUAUGUGGAAAAUCAAAAUACCACCUAGAGUCAAGGUCUUUAUGUGGCUGGCUCUUAGGAACAACAUCCUCACAAAAGAUAAUCUGCUACGUAGGGGGUGGAAAGGAGACGAGAAAUGCCCGUUUUGUGGGCAUGAAGAAAGCAUAAACCAUCUCUUUAUAUCCUGCUCUGUAGCUAGGUUAUUGUUGAAUAUUUUAAAAUGUGCUUUCAAUUUAACUGACAUUCCAGAUGAUCUCGAUCUGGUGAUGAGAACUUGGGUCAAGACAUUUGGAAGAGAAGAGAGGGGCUUAGUUAUGAUAGGGAUUUCGGCUAUAUGUUGGACUAUUUGGAAAUUGAGAAAUAGUGUUAUUUUUGAAAAUAACAGGGUGAAUGAUCCCUGCAUAUUUGUUAAUCUGCUGCUUAAAAUUUACAUGAUUGGAAAAUUUUGCAAAAAAACCCGCAAGAAGUGA
rnacentral:rRNA from 1 species